rnacentral:lncRNA from 1 species
AUUAGUUUAAUUGAGGACAAUUGAGGUCUACAGCUGGCAUGGCUGUAACUGCUAGUAGUCUGUUGUUAUUUUAUGUAUUAUUGUCAUUUUGUUUAUUUUCUUUUGUUAAUGAAAUGCACUUUCUUCUGGAAUGCCCUCUUUACAAUAACCUCAGAAGAGAUGCGACUGAUUAUAUUAAAAAAAUACCCCAGUUUAGAUAAUUCAAACAGAAAAGAUCUUUUUUCAUGGAUCAUGAUUAAUGAAGAUAGCAGAUUUUUAUCUAUUUUAUGUGCAUACCUCGACAAAGGCCUGCAACUUAGAAAAUCAGAAAAUUAGGCUUAAAUGCUCUAAAAGAUAUCAAAAUUAUCUCCCCUUGACCACUGAUUCUUUCCUCAUGCA